rnacentral:rRNA from 1 species
UACAGAGGGGGCAAGCGUUGUUCGGAAUUACUGGGCGUAAAGGGCGCGUAGGCGGCCCGCUAAGUCGAACGUGAAAUCCCCGAGCUCAACUCGGGAACUGCGUCCGAUACUGGCGGGCUUGAAUCCGGGAGAGGGAUGCGGAAUUCCAGGUGUAGCGGUGAAAUGCGUAGAUAUCUGGAGGAACACCGGGUGGCGAAGGCGGCAUCCUGGACCGGCAUUGACGCUGAGGCGCGAAAGCUAGGGGAGCAAACGGGG